rnacentral:rRNA from 1 species
GACGGAGGUUGCGAGCGUGAUCGGGAUUCACUGGGUUUAAAGGGUGAGGGUGCGGCUUUAUCAGUCAGAAGUGAAAGAUUUGAGCUUAACUGAGAAAUUGCUGUUGAUACUGUAGAGCUAGAAUCUGGUUGAGGUCAGCGGAAUGUGGCAAGUAGAGGUGAAAUGCAUGGAUAUGACAUAGAACACCAAUUGCGAAGGCAGGUGGCUGGGCUUAGAUUGACGCUGAGGCGCGAAAGCGUGGGGAGAGAACAGG